rnacentral:rRNA from 1 species
UACGGAGGGUGCAAGCGUUAUCCGGAUUCACUGGGUUUAAAGGGUGCGUAGGCGGGUUGGUAAGUCCGUGGUGAAAUCUCCAAGCUUAACUCGGAAACUGCCGUGGAUACUAUCAAUCUUGAAUAUCGUGGAGGUAAGCGGAAUAUGUCAUGUAGCGGUGAAAUGCUUAGAUAUGACAUAGAACACCAAUUGCGUAGGCAGCUUACUACACGAUCAUUGACGCUGAGGCACGAAAGCGUGGGGAGCAAACAGG